rnacentral:rRNA from 1 species
AGUGAACGCUGGCGGUAGGCCUAACACAUGCAAGUCGAACGGCAGCACAGUAAGAGCUUGCUCUUACGGGUGGCGAGUGGCGGACGGGUGAGGAAUACAUCGGAAUCUACUUUUUCGUGGGGGAUAACGUAGGGAAACUUACGCUAAUACCGCAUACGACCUACGGGUGAAAGCAGGGGAUCUUCGGACCUUGCGCGAUUGAAUGAGCCGAUGUCGGAUUAGCUAGUUGGCGGGGUAAAGGCCCACCAAGACGACGAUCCGUAGCUGGUCUGAGAGGAUGAUCAGCCACACUGGAACUGAGACACGGUCCAGACUCCUACGGGAGGCAGCAGUGGGGAAUAUUGGACAAUGGGCGCAAGCCUGAUCCAGCCAUACCGCGUGGGUGAAGAAGGCCUUCGGGUUGUAAAGCCCUUUUGUUGGGAAAGAAAAGCAGCAGGUUAAUACCCCGCUGUUCUGACAGUACCCAAAGAAUAAGCACCGGCUAACUUCGUG